UACAGAGGUCUCAAGCGUUGUUCGGAUUCAUUGGGCGUAAAGGGUGCGUAGGCGGCGCGGUAAGUCGGGUGUGAAAUCUUGGAGCUUAACUCCGAAACUGCAUUCGAUACUGCCGUGCUUGAGGACUGGAGAGGAGACUGGAAUUUACGGUGUAGCGGUGAAAUGCGUUGAGAUCGGAAGGAACGCCCGUGGCGAAAGCGAGGUCCUGGACGUCUGCUGACGCUGAGACGCGAAAGCCAGGGGAGCGGAA
rnacentral:rRNA from 1 species